rnacentral:lncRNA from 1 species
CUGUUGAAAAGCCUAUCCCCAGAGUAAUCUACCGGUUUUUACAAUGACUGGAGCAAGAUUUGGGGAAGACUCCGGAGCAGAAUUCAUCAAAAGGAUCAAGAUGACUUCCCCCCGCAGACCUUCAAUAGCAAAUGGCUGGAUUGAGCUCUUAGCACUGGCAGAAAGAGUUCAUUGUUUGUUCUGGUUUAGAUCCAGGUUGUAACAGAGAUACUCUGAGAACUGUUAGAUGUCAGGAUCCCCUAGCUCAACACAUUGUCUCUUUCCACAAAACUUCUGCAUUAGAAAAGUCCCUGGGAAAGGGCUAGAAAAUCAAGAAAUUUCAAUUGCUUUGUAAACUUUGCAAAGGAAAUUUUAUGUCACCUAACAGUUUUCCCAGUGCAAUUACUGACUGUUCGGCUGAACAUUAGGGGACUGAAGACUCCCCCCCACUCAGAGAAGAACUCUGGCACUGUUGACCAGGGAUAUUCUGAACAGAAAUCCAACACCUUGAGGCUGAGGUGACACCGUCUCCUCAUACCAUCUUAAUAAGAGAAACAUGACAUUUUGCACUUCCUCUUGUUUCCACAUUCCUCAGUUUGGGCCUUAGCCCUAUUUUAGAGCAUUUGCCAUGAAUUGAGAACUAUGCUGACUCUCCUGAAUAUCAUGCCUAGAAAAGUUUUGUAUUUUGUUCAAAGAACAAGGUCCACUGUGGAAGUCCCUAGACUUAAACAAGGUGCUGCAAAACCUAAUUCUAUGCAUCUGUUUAUCUAAGAUUGUUUUAUCUUGCAGCAGCAGCUUUGCUUAGGCUUAACAUAGUUAAGAACAGUACAUGCAUAGUGGGGAGAGAACUUCCACUGAAUAACUUUUACAACCUUACUUUGUUAUUUAAAUUCUAAUAUUUAAAAAGCCACUAUCUGGGACCAUGAGGAAUGCUAGUGGUCUUUCCAGAUAAUCCAAACUGCUUAAGGAAUUAUGCAUAUGAAAUCACCAAGACUGUGUACAUGCCCUCCACACACUCUUCUGUGUAGCUGGCAAAAACUUCUUCAUAUUCAUCAGUUGAGUCCUGGCCACCAGAGAACUUUGAGCCUCAUUAAUAAACUAGAAGGCAAACAGAGGGAGAGCAAAGCUUGCUGGGCUGAAGGCAAGAGCACAGCACAAAUGCAGAACAGUUCAUCACAAGCUGGUGCAGAGCAGCCCCAGACUGGUCGUCAGUGGGUGAUACCUGAAAAAGCAGCCCAACAGCCAAACUACAGGGAGCUAGGAGGUAGCAGAGAGGGAAUAUGUCUUGAUCUUUAUCCCAUGUAA